rnacentral:rRNA from 1 species
UACGGGGGGGGCAAGCGUUGUUCGGAAUUACUGGGCGUAAAGGGCUCGUAGGCGGCCAACUAAGUCAGACGUGAAAUCCCUCGGCUUAACCGGGGAACUGCGUCUGAUACUGGAUGGCUUGAGAUUGGGAGAGGGAUGCGGAAUUCCAGGUGUAGCGGUGAAAUGCGUAGAUAUCUGGAGGAACACCGGUGGCGAAGGCGGCAUCCUGGACCAACACUGACGCUGAGGAGCGAAAGCCAGGGGAGCGAACGGG